UCCAGAGGUCUCAAGCGUUGUUCGGAUUCAUUGGGCGUAAAGGGUGUGUAGGUGGCGCGCUAAGUCGGGUGUGAAAUUUCGGAGCUUAACUCCGAAACUGCAUUCGAUACUGGCGUGCUUGAGGACUGGAGAGGAGACUGGAAUUUACGGUGUAGCAGUGAAAUGCGUAGAUAUCGUAAGGAAGACCAGUGGCGAAGGCGGGUCUCUGGACAGUUCCUGACACUGAGACACGAAGGCCAGGGGAGCAAACGGG
rnacentral:rRNA from 1 species